UCGUGGAAAGGGGUAGACAACUUUAGCGGCUAUGGCUGGUGUCUUGAACAAGGUGGAAUCCUAUUAUACAUGGGAUUGAAAGGCACAAGAAGGAGUUUAUCCCCCCUCCACUCAGAAUUAGAAUCACUGCUUUGGGCAAUGGAGUGUUUAUUGGAGAUCUCGCUGCCACACAUCGCCUUCAUCACUGACUGCGCAGACUUGCUCCACAUGAUCGAUAAUCCUUUGGAUUGGCUGGCUUUUGCCUCAGAGCUAGAGGAUGUGAUGGCCCUCAAGAAGCAAUUCUCGUCUUUCAUCAUAAAGCAAAUCUCCAGAGUUGAUAACACCCGUGCAGAUUUUCUCGCAAAGAAGGCUAGAUCGCGUGGAAUUAGUUUCUCCUACGUCAGCUCAACGGCUCCCGAUUGGCUUCCUCAAGUAGAAAGUCAAUAUCGGAACGUUUGUUGAGUGUGAUAUCGGUUAGGCGUCAAACAAAAAAAACACAUUCAGAUUUAUCAAAGUUGGGAAGAAAGAGAGGAAAUAAGAAAACCGUAUCUUUUCUACUUCUCUUCCUCUCUCUCGCUCUAACUAGAAGAUGGGAUAUUUCUCCAACAAGAUCUCCGAACUCAAGGCAGGAGAUUUACUCAUACCGUUCUUAUUUGUACAUCCAUCACGGUUCCAUCUCUUUCUCUAGGAAUCUAUGUAGGCGAUGGAAAAGUCUUUCAUUUCACUCGCAGAGGUGGUUUAGAAAUUGGAGCCGGAACUUUUUUAGACAUAAACAUCGAAUUUUCAGCUCCGAACCGGAACCCAUGUCUUAAUUGUGGAGAUCAAUCGAAUCUCGAAGGUGUAAUCUCUUCUUGCCUUAAGGGCACAGAGAGAAGCAACACAACUUUCUUCAAUUAAUGGCUCAAAUCAAUGGAAUUUCCUCCUCCGCCGUAGAGAUCCAAACGCCUCCAUAACUUCACCUUACCUUAUCUCCGUUGGGGCCAGCAGAGAUUCUUCAGGCUCAGUUAAAAAUAAAAAAGACCAAAAUACCCCUGCAGCAAACUAGAUCUAAAUCGAGAAUUCUCCGACUCUCACCUCUCACGACUCUCGUCUUUUCGUUUUCACUCCGGCAAUUCUUCUCUCUGGCGAGCUGGUUCUUCUCUCCGGCGAGCUGGUUCUUCUCUCCGGCGAGCUUGUUCUUCUCUCCGACGAGAUUGUUCUUCUCUCCGACGAGCUGGUUCUUCUCCGACGGCUUCUUAAACA